ensembl:snoRNA
AUCUUUUUGUAGUUCAUGAGCAUGAAGAUUGGGUGUUCAUGCACAUGUGUGAGAUGUGCCACCCUUGAACCUUGUUAUGACGUUGGCAUCUUACCCAUCUGGCC